CUGCUUUAACCUCCACGUGCCAGUGAAUAGACAUUUGGAGAAGGGAGGAGAUUAAAAAAAGGAACGGAACCAAAUUUCCAAAUAUGUACUCAAGAGAGCCAGACUGAAAGAAGAUAAGAAAAAGGAAAGAAGAGAAAGACCAAGGGAUGGAAGGGAGGAAGGAUGAAAAUGUCUCAAGAAGGGAAGAGAGGGGAGAU
rnacentral:lncRNA from 1 species